CGUUCCCGCCCGGUGCUCUGUGAGGGGAGCCCUGCCCCGGCCUGCUGCGGCUGAGGAACAGCCCGUCCCGCCUUUCCACACACGGCGGGGACACGGCGUCCCGGGCAGCAGUGCCGCUGAGGGCUGGUCCGUGGCUUUCGUGACCGGUUUGUGCUUUUCAAGGGCAAAGCCGAGAACUACCCGGCCCAGCCGUGAGGAGGAACAUGUUUCACCAAUCUGUGCCUGGGAAAUCGAGGUCUCCCAAAGCCUCGCCGCGUUUCCUCAGACCGCGGCAAUGAACACCCGUAGCCAGACCAGGAGCCCCUAACACCCCCCUGCCAUUAUAACGGUGGAACCCCUUUGCCAAUCCUUUCCCCCAAAGAUUUUCUCUCAAACGAGCUCUCUCUGAGGUUUUCACUUCUUUCUUUCCUUUAUGAAUAGCCUCCUUCAGAUCAGUC